rnacentral:rRNA from 1 species
UGGGGAAUAUUGCACAAUGGGGGAAACCCUGAUGCAGCGACGCCGCGGGAGCGAAGAAGGUUUUCGAAUCGUAAAGCUCUGUCCUAUGAGAAGAUAAUGACGGUAUCAUAGGAGGAAGCCCCGGCUAAAUACGUGCCAGCAGCCGCGGUAAUACGUAUGGGGCGAGCGUUGUCCGGAUUUAUUGGGCGUAAAGCGAGCGCAGGCGGUUAGAAAAGUCUGAAGUGAAAGGCAGUGGCUCAACCAUUGUAGGCUUUGGAAACUGUUUAACUUGAGUGCAGAAGGGGAGAGUGGAAUUCCAUGUGUAGCGGUGAAAUGCGUAGAUAUAUGGAGGAACACCGGUGGCGAAAGCGGCUCUCUGGUCUGUAACUGACGCUGAGGAUCGAAAGCGUGGGGAGCGAACAGG